GGGCGUCAAAGCUUACCAAAGAAUAUCAAACUCCGAAUGCCAUGUAGAUGAUGAACGGGAGUCAGACUGCACGAGAUAAGUUGGGCAGUCAAAAGGGAAAGAGCCCAGACCGCCAGCUAAGGUCCCAAAGUGUGUGUUAAGUGGAAAAGGAUGUGGGAUCUCCAAGACAACUAGGAUGUUGGCUCAGAAGCAGCCACACAUUCAAAGAGUGCGUAACAGCUCACUAGUCGAGAGGUCCUGCGCCGAAAAUGUCCGGGGCUGAAACACAACACCGAAGCUGCGGAAUCACGCAAGUGAUUGGUAGAGGAGCAUUCUUAAUACCGACGAAGCUGUACCGGAAGGAGCAGUGGAGGGAUAAGAAGAGAGAAUGCCGGAAUGAGUAGCGAGAGAGAGGUGGGAAUCCUCUCGGCCGAAUAUCCAAGGUUUCCAGAGUAAAGCUGAUCUGCUCUGGGUAAGUCGGGGCCUAAGGCGAGGUCAAAAGACGUAGCCGAUGGACAACAGGUUUAGAUUCCUGUACCGCAUAUAAACAGAACUGUGGGGACGCAUGGGGAGAGCAUGGGCCGGGAAUGGAAAUACCGGUGCAAGCGAAGGAGGUGUGCAGCCGGCAAAUCCGCUGCAUGAGCCGAAAGCGUGACGCGGAGCGAAAUGAAAGUAGCGAAGCAUGUGAGCCCUGUGCCGAGAAAAGCCGCUAUUGUUUUAUAUGUGCCCGUACCGUAAACCGACACAGGUGGAUGAGGAGAGAAUCCUAAGGCCGGCGGAAGAAGUAUUGUUAAGGAACUCGGCAAAAUGACCCCGUAACUUCGGGAGAAGGGGUGCCCACGGGAGUGGGCCGCAGAGAAUAGGCUCAAGCAACUGUUUAGCAAAAACACAGGUCUAUGCGAAACCGAAAGGUGAAGUAUAUGGGCUGACGCCUGCCCGGUGCUGGAAGGUUAAGAGGAGAGGUUAGCGCAAGCGAAGCUUUGAAUUUAAGCCCCAGUAAACGGCGGCCGUAACUAUAACGGUCCUAAGGUAGCGAAAUUCCUUGUCGGGUAAGUUCCGACCCGCACGAAAGGCGUAAUGAUUUGAGCACUGUCUCGACAAUACAUCCGGUGAAAUUGAAGUACCAGUGAAGAUGCUGGUUACCCGCGCCAGGACGGAAAGACCCCAUGGAGCUUUACUCCAGUUUGGUACUGGGAUUCGGUACUGCACGUACAGGAUAGGUGGGAGACUAAGAAACUUGAACGCCAGUUUGAGUGGAGUCGCUGUUGGGAUACCACCCCUGCAGUAUUGGAUUUCUAACCAGUCACCGUGACCCGGUGAUGGGACAAUGCCAGGCGGGGAGUUUGACUGGGGCGGUCGCCUCCGAAAGGGUAUCGGAGGCGCUCAAAGGUUCCCUCAGAAUGGUCGGAAACCAUUUGAAGAGUGCAAAGGCAGAAGGGAGCUUGACUGCGACACCGACGGGUGGAGCAGGUAGGAAACUAGGACUUAGUGAUCCGGUGGCAUAAAGUGGGAUUGCCAUCGCUCAACGGAUAAAAGCUACCCUGGGGAUAACAGGC
rnacentral:rRNA from 1 species